AAACCACAAGGGGAGCCGAAGCUCCCCCAGAAUAGUUGCGUGCUCUAUUUUUAUUAUUGGUUUUGGGCUUCUUGUUUUUGUUGAUCGCCCUUGUCACCUGGUUUACCCAGUGUGACGCUCCCAAUCGGGAGCCAAGAGCAAACGGAUUGCUUUGAUCGCUGAGUUGCAAUGACCUUUCGAUCCAACCAGUUCAGGCUCUGCCUUAGGGCAGUU
rnacentral:misc_RNA from 1 species